ACUUGCAAAAUGUGUACGAAGAAUUAUCAGGCAUUGAGAUACAAGCCGACCCUCACCCGCUGUGCUACAUUUGCUACACAAAGCUUCUUCAGAGCCAACAACUGUUGAAGCAAAUACAAGAAAAUAGUAGAGCCAGUCAGCCUGACGUGAGACCUCUAGUACACCUGUCUAUGGUAGCCAAUUAU